UUCGGGGGGCCGGCAAUCGAUGUGAUUGUGUUGACUAACGACCUCAGCCAAAUCAAACCUAACUCACGAACUAUAUUGCCCCGAUAUGCAGUAUCUGUGUAGCGCCAUCGUGAUCGGUCAUAUUUGAGGAGUUGGUCUAUAUAUACACAUGGCUUUUAUUUCAUUUUGAUAGUUGCUAAGUUAUAUUGAUCUAGAACAACGCAAAAAAUGUUGGUGGUUUUCAAGAGAGCUUGUGUCUCAAGGAUCUUUGUCAUUACCAUCCUGAUUCUACAAAUACUACAAACAUCUAAAGCAGCGGGGCUCUUUGAUUCCUUGACUGGAACGACGGGAUCCACAUGUUUAAAUAACUCCCUUUUGUCGAGUUUAUCGAGCGCACUAUCAAGUCUUUCAACAGGAGACUUUAAUCUGUUGAAAAUGUUGAACCCCGCCCUAUAUAACGUGCUUAAACUUUUAACACCACUUCUAACGGCAUUUAGCGGGUAGAUCUUGUAAAUUUGCGUGCAGCUGGAUAAAUAAAUAAAAUUGGGCAAUUACUUAUUGCAA